GCCGGAGUAGUGCAUCUGAUUUGUAAUCAGGGAGUGCGGGUUUGAUUCCUGUCUCCGGCU
rnacentral:tRNA from 1 species